UACGUAGGGACCAAGCGUUGUCCGGAAUCAUUGGGCGUAAAGAGCGUGUAGGCGGCUUGUUAAGUCUUGCGUGAAAUCUCGGGGCUCAACCCCGAGCGGUCGUGAGAAACUGGCAGGCUAGAGUGCGGGAGAGGAGAGUGGAAUUCCCAGUGUAGCGGUGAAAUGCGUAGAUAUUGGGAGGAACACCAGUGGCGAAGGCGGCUCACUGGACUGGUACUGACGCUGAGGCGCGAAGGCGUGGGGAGCAAACAGG
rnacentral:rRNA from 1 species